CUUAUUGAACACAUACAUACGUUGGAGUGCUCAAAUGGCGUAACACCAUCCAAAAUGAUUCAGUUAACUCUUGGCCAUCAGAAAAUGGAGGUGGUAGUUGCGACGUGAACAUUGAACACUAGGCACAGCGCUUGGAAUUGCAAGAUUUCUGCAUUUAUAUUCCUCUAUCGUUGAACCGUUUGUUAGCGAGUUUAAUGGAUUAUUCAAGAAAGCAAGUUUUCCAAUGGCUCAUCUCAAUCAUUGAUGGUUGAAACAAGCCAGGAUCGAUAAAAUUCAGUUGUGCGUCAGGAGACUUUUUCCCAUUACAAGUAAAUGAGAAGAAAAACAACAACUGCAACUCUAUUAACUAAAUCAUAGAGAAUUCGUACACCAUUGAAAGAG